rnacentral:tRNA from 1 species
GCCAGUUUAGCUCAGUUGGUAGAGCAACUGAUUUGUAAUCAGUAGGUCAUCGGUUCGAGUCCGAUAACUGGCUCCA